UUGACAGUUUAUUUAUAUGCACUUCUCCAUUAUGAAAAUGGGUACAAGCAAAGAAAUGCAUGAAAUAAUUCCAGUACUGUCACUUUUUAUGCAGGAUUGAUUUUCAAUAAAAGUCUACAGUCAUUAGAGAUUGAUCUUCCUUUGGCAAGCAAGUUCAAUGUGGAAGCAAUUUGUGUAUCUGGUCUCCAAGGAUUUGUUUUUGUUAGGAGAAUUUUUGGAUUGAUCUUCAGUAAAAGUCUGCGGUCAUUAGAGAUUGAUCUUCCUUCGGCAAGCAAGUUCAAUGUGGAAGCAAUUUGUGUAUCUGAUCUCCAAGGAUUUGUUUUUGUCAGGAGAAUAUUUGGUUGUUAACAGAUUAGUAGUUGUUUUGUUUUUAGAUUCUAUUUACAAGAGUCCCUUUUUGGCGAUUAAGUUACUGAUUGUAGAUAUUUGGUUGCUUUUGUAUCUAUCCUCUAUGGCAUAUCGAAGGGAUGUAUAUAUGCACAUGAUGUCAGUUUUAAUUCUCUCCCUCUUGGGGGCUUUGAUGGAAGAGUUGGUCCACUUCUUGUAA